UUGCCAUUUUUGUACCUCGUUGCAGGUCUUGAGUGGAAGUGUCGGCCGGUGGUGCUAACACCGGCCGACGCGCUU
rnacentral:sRNA from 1 species